rnacentral:sRNA from 1 species
AGGGCAUAGAUGACCCAGCUGGGGAGGAGGCCAAGGGACUGUGUUAUGUGGGGGAGAAGCUCUCCAGGAAAGGAAAGCCUCAGUAGAAGAUGGAGAGUGUGACUCAAAAAUACUGCUUCUCUCUCUUUAUCUCAGGCUUGAAGGUCCCCACCACCAUUACUCUGACACUUCGUGGCCAGCCGAGCAGGAUCACCACGCUGAGCCCUAUGGGCUCAGGAGCAGCCCCAUCCGAGGAGUCCUCUUCCCAGGUGCUGCCCUCCAGCUCACAGCGCCUGCCUCCAGCACCCUGAAGAUGCGGUGUGAUAUGUCCUCCUUACCAAGUUGGUGAUGGCUGCCUCAUGGUGGGCCCUGGACACGUGCGUGGUCCUGCUGAGCUGUCCACGUGUCCGAAGACCUGUUUAAGACAGUCAUUUUUGCCUCUCCGCCAACUGUCUUCAG